rnacentral:tRNA from 1 species
AGGAUUAUAGCUCAGUGGUAGAGCAUAUGCUUAGCAUGCACAAGGUCAUGGGUUCAAUCCCUAGUAAUUCUG